rnacentral:tRNA from 1 species
AGCUCAGUGGUCGAGCGCUGGCUUUGGAAGCCACAGGGCGGUGGUUCAAAUCCACC